rnacentral:hammerhead_ribozyme from 1 species
AUCCAGCUGACGAGACCCGUUAGGACGAAACGCGCGUCCUGGAU